UCAUCUUCAUGCUGCAUUUCACUUGUUUUGUUUUCCCUUCUAAAAUGAUCCUGGUCCUUUUUCCAGGCUUCUCGUCGUUACAUACCCUGCUAAGUUCUUUGCAUUUCACACCGUGUUAGAUAGUAGUGGAAGAUGUUUUCAUGUUCCAUUUUUCAACACAAAAGCUGCAAGACUAAAAACCUUUUUAAAUCAUGUAAAAACACUGACAAUAUUUCAACUUUGUCCAACUCAGUCUGUCAUGUUCAACAUCUGUUUUCAUCAAGCGUCUGCAUUUUAUUGAAGACCCUGGGAUUUGGUCAUUCUCUGUGGCGCAGUCAUCGUCUUUGAGUGCUGGUUUAGAUUCCCCGAGAAGCUGACGAAGGUCACUGAAGAAGCAGAUUAUGACGACAGAGUAACACAAUACACAAAAUCACAAGGCAACAAUAAAGAUGUUACUCUCAGAAGGAGGAUUUAUAUAUUUCUUCAUUCUUUUUUCUGUUUCUGCAUGUGUUGUUGUUUAUAGUAAUUUGUAAUGUUUUGUUUAGCUAAACCAUUCAAGCCACUAAAGGUUGUUCAGAAGAAGUUGAAUAAAAUGUCUGCAAGGCUGUAAAUGUUGCUUUUUCUGCAUGAAAAAGAGAAGAAACGUAAAGUAUGCCAAAUAAAAUGCAAAUAUUUUUG